AAGAAUCGCCCCGUUUUUUGAAAUGGGUUCUAUUCCCAAACCGUGUAUACAUACCUUUGUUGCUUUGGCAGGCCGCCUUCUAGGCGUCGGCUUCGGCUGACUGCGCCUGCCAGAGGACCCAAACUCUUUUAUCAGUGAUGUCUGAGUACUAUAUAAUAGUUA
rnacentral:misc_RNA from 1 species